GACGAACGUUGGCGGCGUGCUUAACACAUGCAAGUCGAACGGAAAGGCCCUGCUUUUGUGGGGUGCUCGAGUGGCGAACGGGUGAGUAACACGUGAGUAACCUGCCCUUGACUUUGGGAUAACUUCAGGAAACUGGGGCUAAUACCGGAUAGGAGCUCCUGCUGCAUGGUGGGGGUUGGAAAGUUUCGGCGGUUGGGGAUGGACUCGCGGCUUAUCAGCUUGUUGGUGGGGUAGUGGCUUACCAAGGCUUUGACGGGUAGCCGGCCUGAGAGGGUGACCGGCCACAUUGGGACUGAGAUACGGCCCAGACUCCUACGGGAGGCAGCAGUGGGGAAUAUUGCACAAUGGGCGGAAGCCUGAUGCAGCAACGCCGCGUGCGGGAUGACGGCCUUCGGGUUGUAAACCGCUUUCGCCUGUGACGAAGCGUGAGUGACGGUAAUGGGUAAAGAAGCACCGGCUAACUACGUGCCAGCAGCCGCGGUGAUACGUAGGGUGCGAGCGUUGUCCGGAUUUAUUGGGCGUAAAGGGCUCGUAGGUGGUUGAUCGCGUCGGAAGUGUAAUCUUGGGGCUUAACCCUGAGCGUGCUUUCGAUACGGGUUGACUUGAGGAAGGUAGGGGAGAAUGGAAUUCCUGGUGGAGCGGUGGAAUGCGCAGAUAUCAGGAGGAACACCAGUGGCGAAGGCGGUUCUCUGGGCCUUUCCUGACGCUGAGGAGCGAAAGCGUGGGGAGCGAACAGGCUUAGAUACCCUGGUAGUCCACGCUGUAAACGGUGGGUACUAGGUGUGGGGUCCAUUCCACGGGUUCCGUGCCGUAGCUAACGCUUUAAGUACCCCGCCUGGGGAGUACGGCCGCAAGGCUAAAACUCAAAGGAAUUGACGGGGCCCCGCACAAGCGGCGGAGCAUGCGGAUUAAUUCGAUGCAACGCGUAGAACCUUACCUGGGUUUGACAUGGAUCGGGAGUGCUCAGAGAUGGGUGUGCCUCUUUUGGGGUCGGUUCACAGGUGGUGCAUGCCUGUCGUCAGCUCGUGUCGUGAGAUGUUGGGUUAAGUCCCGCAACGAGCGCAACCCUUGUUCACUGUUGCCAGCACGUUAUGGUGGGGACUCAGUGGAGACCGCCGGGGUCAACUCGGAGGAAGGUGGGGAUGACGUCAAGUCAUCAUGCCCCUUAUGUCCAGGGCUUCACGCAUGCUACAAUGGCUGGUACAGAGAGUGGCGAGCCUGUGAGGGUGAGCGAGUCUCGGAAAGCCGGUCUCAGUUCGGAUUGGGGUCUGCAACUCGACCUCAUGAAGUCGGAGUCGCUAGUAAUCGCAGAUCAGCAACGCUGCGGUGAAUACGUUCCCGGG
rnacentral:rRNA from 1 species